rnacentral:rRNA from 1 species
GACGAACGCUGGCGGCGUGCUUAACACAUGCCAGUCGAACGGAAAGGCCCUGCUUGCAGGGUGCUCGAGUGGCGAACGGGUGAGUAACACGUGGGUGAUCUGCCCCUUAUUUUGGGAUAAGCCUGGGAAACUGGGUCUAAUACUGGAUAGGACCAUGCUGUAGGUGGUGUGGUGGAAAGAUUAGUUUCGGUAAGGGAUGAGCUCGCGGCCUAUCAGCUUGUUGGUGGGGUAAUGGCCUACCAAGGCGUCGACGGGUAGCCGGCCUGAGAGGGUGGACGGCCACAUUGGGACUGAGAUACGGCCCAGACUCCUACGGGAGGCAGCAGUGGGGAAUAUUGCACAAUGGGCGCAAGCCUGAUGCAGCGACGCCGCGUGGGGGAUGACGGCCUUCGGGUUGUAAACUCCUUUCAGCCAUGACGAAGCCCUUGUGGUGACGGUAGUGGUAGAAGAAGCACCGGCUAACUACGUG